rnacentral:rRNA from 1 species
AUACGGAGGAUGCGAGCGUUAUCCGGAUUUAUUGGGUUUAAAGGGUGCGCAGGCGGCCAUUUAAGUCAGCGGUUAAAUCGUGGGGCUCAACCCCAUUCUGCCGUUGAUACUGGGUGGCUUGAUUGCGGUCGAGGUUGGCGGAAUUCGUUGUGUAGCGGGGAAAUGCAUAGAUAUGACGAAGAACACCGAUUGCGUAGGCAGCUGACCAGACCGCAAAUGACGCUCAUGCACGAAAGUGCGGGGAUCGAACAGGAUUAGAUACCCUGGUAGUCCGCACAGUAAACGAUGAAUACUUGUUUUCGGCGAUAUAAUGUCGGAGGCAAAGCGAAAGCGAUAAGUAUUCCACCUGGGGAGUACGCCGGCAACGGUGAAACUUAAAGGAAUUGACGGGG